AGCGAACGCUGGCGGCAGGCCUAACACAUGCAAGUCGAGCGCCCCGCAAGGGGAGCGGCAGACGGGAGAGUAACACGUGGGAACGUACCCUUUGGUUCGGAACAACCCAGGGAAACUUGGGCUGAUACCGGAUAAGCCCUCCCGGGGAAAGAUUUAUCGCCGAAGGAUCGGCCCGCGUCUGAUUAGCUAGUUGGUGAGGUAACGGCUCACUAAGGCGACGAUCAGUAGCUGGUCUGAGAGGAUGAUCAGCCUCACUGGGACUGAGACACGGCCCAGACUCCUACGGGAGGCAGCAGUGGGGAAUAUUGGACAAUGGGCGCAAGCCUGAUCCAGCCAUGCCGCGUGGGUGAUGAAGGCCCUAGGGUUGUAAAGCCCUUUCGGCGGGGAAGAUAAUGACGGUACCCGCAGAAGAAGCCCCGGCUAACUUCGUGCCAGCAGCCGCAGUAA
rnacentral:rRNA from 1 species